AAGAGAUUAGCUCAAUGGUAGAGCAACCGUUUUACACGCGGUAGGUUAGGUGUUCAAGUCACCUAUUUCUUA
rnacentral:tRNA from 1 species